AAACUUCCACAUACUCAUGUACACACAUAAUAAGCAUAGAAUAUGGAAAUCAAUUAUUUUUAUGACUCGAUUUUGUGGUCCCGAAACCACUUCCCGACUAGGGUCAAUUUUGGGCUGUUACAACAUAUAUACACUUUCACAUUCAUCACAUCGACUAUUAGGCCUUAUCACAUAUAUACACUUUCACAUUCAUCACGGGAAUGCAGCCCUAAUCGGGCGGUAAAUUCUGUCCAAGGCUAAAUACUGGCGAGAGACCGAUAGCGAACAAGUACCGUGAGGGAAAGAUGAAAAGAACUUUGAAAAGAGAGUCAAAGAGUGCUUGAAAUUGUCGGGAGGGAAGUAGAAGGGGUCCGACGAUGCGCCCCUGUCGGAUGUGGAACGGCGACAGCUAGUCAAGCUGAUCAGCUUGGGGCGUAGACCGAUGCGGGUCAUGGCGGUGGCCCAAGCCUGGGCUUUUGAUACGCCUGUGGAGACACCGUCGCCUCGAUCGUAGGAUCCAGCACGCGCCAUCUCAGCGUGCUUCGGCACCUGCGUGCUUCAGGCGUCGGCCUGCGGGCUCCCCAUUUGGCCCGUCUUGAAAUAGGACCAAGGAGUCUGACAUGUGUGCUAGUCAACGGGCUAGAAAAAGCGUAAGGCGCAAGGAAGCUGAUUGGCGGGAUCCCUCGCGGGUGCAUCGUCGACCUACCUUGAUCUUCUGAGAAGGGUUCGAGUGAGAGCAUGCCUAUCGGGACCCGAAAUAUGGUGAACUAUGCCUGAGCGGGGCAAAGCCAGAGAAAACUCUGGUGGAGGCCCGCAGCCUGACUUGCAAAUCGUUCGUCUGACUUGGGUAUAGUGGCGAAAGACUAAUCGAACCGUCUAGUGUCACGGGCCAGAGUUCAAAGCCCGUGACCAUCGAACCAAAUGCAUCGGAUAGAGGUCUAUUAAUUAGAUGGGGAUCAUUUAGCCUAUGAGAGCUGGCCCGAUUCAAGGAACUGUUGGAGAAGCCUGUCAGAUUGAAGCCUGGUUGGCCCGAUAGCGAAGAUAUGACAACUUAGGCAACUAUGGUAACUAAUCUUUAAAGAUAGAGGGAAUCAUAUCUUGUAAAGUUUAGAUAGGAUUUGAUAUGGCAAUAUCUUGUAAAAUCCCUUAAAUCAUGGGAUUUUUUAAUCUCGUCCGUCGAUGUAAUUGUAUCUUGACUGUCGGUUUUAGGGGAGCUCAAGUAUAAAUAGAGAGCUCCCCCUCAUUUGUACUCACUCUAUUCAUUGUUUCAUUAUUCUUUGUGAAUAAGAGAAUAGAGAGCAUUUACUCAAACACUUUACGAGCGUCCCUUUUUGUUGUUCUUUUUAAGCUUCUUUAGCAUAAGUUUGCCUCCGCUGUAUGAGUUGGUGCCUUGGAGGAGUUCUUAAGGAAUCCUUAUUCGAGUAAAGGCUAACUUGGGUGAGUUUGGACGAGCAAAUCGCCUAAGGUCACACGGAUUGCGAGAUGAAAGGUCUAGCCCCGUGACAAGUGGUAUCAAAGCUGUUGGUUCAAAGGCACUGUUGGUAUGUCGAAAGAAGAGUUCAAACAAAGGUGGGCGAGAAAGUCUUUGAGGGAGAUGCUGUCGGCAGUAGAGGUACGCGUGGGUAAACUUGAGGAGUCCAUGGAGGACGUUAAAGAGUCUGACAAUACUCGUGGGGAAAGCAUUGAAGACAUGAAGGAACAGUUCAGGGACUUUGUGACCACGUGUCUAACUUCCCAAAGGGAUAACGUGCAAGAGUUGCUAGAUUUCCAAAGGAAGAAGCUGACAGAGAGGAACAAUGCUCUCGAAGCCAUGGUGAAGGCUUUGAAGGAGGAAACAAUGGCCACGAUGCUGGCUUUAAGCAUAAGAAUAGAGGAGCUCGAGGGAGAGCUGGCCUUGUGUCGAGUAGCGGUGGGGGAAAGAGGAUGUCUCGAAGCCGAAAGAGUUUGUGGGGACAAGGUCUACAUGUGAUGUGGACAAUUUCUUGUGGAGGACGGAAAACUACUUUCGUGUCAAAGGCAUCAUGGAUGAUGCGGGUAAGGUACAAACUGCUUCAUUAUUUCUUACUGAUAUUGCACUUUUAUGGUGGCGAGGUAGGACCACAGAUAAAAGGCAAGGUGAGAUUGGAACAUGGGAGAAGUUCCAAUCCGAGUUGAAGGGACAGUUUUACCCGGAGUUUGCCGAGGAAGAAGCUCGGGCAAAGUUGCAAGGGAUAACGCAACGGGGCACAAUGGGGGAGUAUGUUCGUGAGUUCAAGAAACUCAUGCUGCAAGUUUCGGAUGUGAUCGAGAGAGAAGUAAUGCUUGCUUUUCAAGAGGGAUUGAAGCCGUGGGUCAGGCAGGAGGUGGAACAAAGAGGUGUCCAAAAGCUGUUGGAAGCCAUGACGGUAGCAGUAUCCGUGGUUAAGCUUGGUCUAGGGCAAGACAAGCUUGGAUCUUCCAAGUCCGAGGAAAGGGGCGUAUGUGAAGGGAAUCACAAGAAAGAUAUGGAUGAGUAUCGCAAUAGCAACGGCAACAAUAGUGG
rnacentral:rRNA from 1 species